AGUGAACGCUGGCGGUAGGCCUAACACAUGCAAGUCGAACGGCAGCACAGUAAGAGCUUGCUCUUACGGGUGGCGAGUGGCGGACGGGUGAGGAAUACAUCGGAAUCUACUUUUUCGUGGGGGAUAACGUAGGGAAACUUACGCUAAUACCGCAUACGACCUACGGGUGAAAGCAGGGGAUCUUCGGACCUUGCGCGAUUGAAUGAGCCGAUGUCGGAUUAGCUAGUUGGCGGGGUAAAGGCCCACCAAGGCGACGAUCCGUAGCUGGUCUGAGAGGAUGAUCAGCCACACUGGAACUGAGACACGGUCCAGACCCCUACGGGAGGCAGCAGUGGGGAAUAUUGGACAAUGGGCGCAAGCCUGAUCCAGCCAUACCGCGUGGGUGAAGAAGGCCUUCGGGUUGUAAAGCCCUUUUGUUGGGAAAGAAAAGCAGCAGGUUAAUACCCCGCUGUUCUGGCGAUACCCAAAGAAUAAGCACCGGCUAACUUCGUG
rnacentral:rRNA from 1 species